GCGUGUUUAGUUCAAUGGUAGAAUGCGAGUCUCCAAAACUUGAUAUGAGAGUUCGAUUCUCUCAGCACGUGCCA
rnacentral:tRNA from 7 species